rnacentral:rRNA from 1 species
GAUGAACGCUGGCGGCGCAUUUAAGACAUGCAAGUCGAACGAAAACUUUUUACCGAAUUGAUAUGACGAUUUAUCUGAAUUGAAAUUCACCAAAAAGUUUUAGUGGCGGACGGGUGAGUAAUACGUAGAUAAUCUGCCUUUUAGAGGGAAAUAACAAGAAGAAAUUUUUGCUAAUGUCCCAUAAGACCACAUUGUGGCAUCACAAAAGUGAUCAAAGGAGAAAUCCGCUAAAAGAUGAGUCUACGGCUGAUUAGCCAGUUGGCGGGGUAAAGGCCCACCAAAGCUAUGAUCAGUAGCCGAGCUGAGAGGCUGGCCGGCCACAUUGGGACUGAGACACGGCCCAG